GACGAACGCUGGCGGCGCGCCUAACACAUGCAAGUCGAACGAAGCGCUUAAACGGAUUUCUUCGGAUUGAAGUUUUUGCGACUGAGUGGCGGACGGGUGAGUAACGCGUGGGUAACCUGCCUCAUACAGGGGGAUAACAGUUAGAAAUGACUGCUAAUACCGCAUAAGCCCACAGGUCGGCAUCGACCAGAGGGAAAAGGAGCAAUCCGCUUUGAGAUGGCCUCGCGUCCGAUUAGCUAGUUGGCGGGGUAACGGCCCACCAAGGCGACGAUCAGUAGCCGGACUGAGAGGUUGAACGGCCACAUUGGGACUGAGACACGGCCCAG
rnacentral:rRNA from 1 species